CUCUCGUCUGUCGCUAUUGGUGCUCGACAGAAGACAGCGGCGGUUCGUCCCGGCAAUUCCUCGUGGUCCUCGACAGCGGCGACUAGGUGGUGCUGUUUGCCGCCGCUGGUCCCGCGUGCACGUGCGUCGCCGUCGCUCUGUUUUGCCGCUGCUGCUUCUUGUCGGCCUAUACUGGUGCUGAUGUUCAUGGCCGGCCCAUACUGCUGCUGUUUGUUUGUGGCCCUGUGUGUUCUUGCUGCUUACACGUGGUCAGCGGCAGACGUGGUGGAAGUGCUCGCUGCUGCUCGGCUCCACUUGGGCUCCGUCGUUCAGCCUUGGCGUGGGCCUGGGCGCCGCUGUCUUUACUGCUGCUCCCCGCUGUUGCCCAUCAGCUAGCUGGUGCCGACCUUGUCCGCUGCUCAUAGAGGAGCGCCACCGUCUACUGUCGUGCAAACAAGGGAUGAGAUUGAGUUCUUCGCGUGUGUCUGAGUUCGUGGCAAAUAGGCACACAAGGGUAUACUUGUCCAGUGCAUUGUGCAUGUAAUAUGUUUGUCAUUUGAAAUUAUUUUUUGUGUAGAAAAUGGCAAAAAAUCAAAUGGCAAACAAAAGAGUGGCAAAAGAUCAAUUACAAUCUAAGCAGUGGCAAAUUGUCAAAGUCCAAAGUAAGUAGUGGCUGAAAAUUAAAUCGCCCGGAUGUGAGGGUGGAGGCGCAUGCCGUGGUGCAGGAUGUUGUGGUGUCUGAAGCACCUGAGGUGUCGGAGCCAGAGGUGAAGAGCGAGGAGGUGGUGGUCCGGGACACAACCAAGAUGCAUUCUGCGCAUCAACCAGAGACCAAGGCAGAGGAGGUGCUGGUCCGGGAUACGGACACAAAUGUUGUGGUGUCAGAACUACAAGCAAAGAGUGAGGUGUCAUGGUCUCGUGAGGCAGGUGGUGCGCAUACUACAGAGGCACAAUGUUUCUGCUUGUUUACCAUCCAUCCCUAACAUUUUGAAGCUGCGAUGUCUCAUUACGCGUGGUGUACAGAGAUGUAUUCAGCAGAUCAACAAGGCGAACAGAGGCAAACUUACCCCGGAGGAACUGAAAGAGAGACAGGGCAAAGCUAUGCAGGACCCUGAAAUCCAGAACAUCCUGACGGACCCUGUGAUGCAGCAGGUGUUGAUUGAUUUCCAGGAGAAUCCAAGGGCUGCCUAGGAUGGCUCGGGAGCACGAACGCAACGGCGGACGCGAUUGGGCAUCGUUGGGUUCAGUGAUUGGAGACGUGGCCAUUCAUCCCCGACGGAUCUGUGCCGCCACAGCCUGAGAAAGCCUAGAGAAGGGAGGGUACGGACGAGCACCUAUAGGACAACCCGCCAUCACGACCAGCGAUUGUCUACUCCGACAAUAUCCCUGUGGUCAUAGUCGAAUCCUCCUGUCCUCUCGCGCCGUGUAUAGUCAGACUUAUUUGCAUGCGCCAUAGGUUUUAUGAACAUGGAGGUGUAGUCACCCGAGGUGCAGAAGCUCCAUCACCUAGCUCUACCUCCUCCACUACGCUGACAAGUAAGCUAAUCCCUUCUCAUCUACAUUGCUUCCUCCCUGCCUGUGAUUUAUUACUUCGAGCCUGCUGUUGUUUUAUCAUAUAUACAGACUUAUCUAUGUUUAAGUGUGACCAUUAGCUUAUGGAACAGGAGAAACAAAGUGUUCUUUAGCAGAUGCAAACCUUUCCAUGCUAGAAUUGGACCAAGAAUUACUUGUGUUGCCUGUUUGGUAUGUAUAAACAUAAUUUUCUUGGAUGUCAUAGAAAAAUCAUGCUAUAGCAUAAUUUUUAAUAUUUGUAACUUGGAAUAAGAUCAUGAAAGUAAUAGAGCGCUUCUUGAAUGCAUGGAAACAAAAAAAGGAUAUCUCAGAGUCCAUAUGUCAUAUAUUCUGAAACUAGUGCACAUGGAUAUGUAUAUUCUUGGUUAGUUUUUGUUCUGUUUCUAUUGUAUAUGCUCUAAGAGUCUAAAAGAAGAUGGGGUAGCGCUACUUGAUUUCCUGUAAAAUUUCAGUAACAGUCAAGCAAUAGUGACCAUUGAGUCAAAGCUCAUGUCGAUGGUCGAUUAUUGACUGUUGCACUUAUAUAGAGUGCACCCAUAUAAUAUCUGCUGGUUUAUCUGACUUAUUUGAUCUAUAUGUUGUUUUUACGAGCAACAUGAAGAUAAAAACAAUCUCAAUUAAGUUCACACAAUUAUAUAAUUUUGGUUUGCUGAAAGGUAAUGCCAUGUCAUUUCAAUACUACUUAUCUGGUUUGCGUCUGUUAUUUACUGGUCUAUCUUAAAUAAGGAACUAAACUUUUGUGUUGAUUUACUUUUUGAGGACAUUUAGUUAAUGAUUUUCCUUAUGAUCCUUCUCCUUACUAUAAAUUCAACUAAUUUAAGUUUCAUCUUCCAAAGUUGUAUAUACCCCAAAAAGUACCUAGCGAAAAGAAAAUCAGAGAGAUAGACAUUUGAAAAUCAAACCUUUCUGGAAAAAAUUCCAUGUCGACAGUAGGCUUCAUAUAAAUGCAAUAAAUCCAUUAGCUGAUGCGUCCUAUCAUUAGCUCUUAUCAAUAAUUCUAUUAAAUUUUGAAGCUGACCUGUCCGCCCAUUGGCUUUGGUUGCCACAACAACGGAUUGCUUGGGAUACUAAUAGGAUGGCUUGGGAUUUGGGAGUACGAUUCCCAAACGUGUUACUAUCAUAUUUGGCUUGCAGUGGUUGUGCAGGAGGAAGAUGUUGCUUGAUUGGAGUCCCUCGGAGCCUAGCAGUGCUGCUCAGCCCUAUGCAUUCCAUUGGUCGCCUCAGUAGGUAAUUGGGAUCCUCACGCUACCAAUUUGGUCAUCCCUAGGAAACAUCAAGGAGAUGAUGAGACUGCAUCUUGAGAAGAAGCAUUAUUUACAACUCAGUAUUAUGUCAUGCAUGGAAGAAGCACUCAAUCUUAUUACUAACUACUUCCUCUGUACACAAAUAUAGGACGUUUUAGACUGAACAUAGAAGUCUCUAAAACCUCUUAUAUUAGUGUACAGACAGAGUAAUAACAUGUAAACAGUGUGUUGCGUUCCUAUUUGAUCGUGGAUUUCAAGCAUACUGCUAACAAAAUGUUGGAGAGCUUGGCAGGUUUCAACUAAUUCAAAACAUGCCAAUACUAAAUUUCUAGCCUUCAUAUUGCCAUGUAUAUCCCAUAUAAAUUUCUAAUGUUUAUGAUUAGUAUAACUACAUUUAGCAGUUGUUGCGAGCGAAACACAAUUCGGUAGAGCAAAUUAGUUGUUGUUGGACUCAAAACAGUAGGCGCCAAUUUGCUUUUGUGCAGUGGGUGGGGAGAAAUUAUAUAUGGUAGAAGCCAACCUGGUCGUUUAUGUUAUUUGUUGGACGACAUUAUUUAUCUGUUUGGUUACUUGUGCAGAACUUUAUUUGAUUGCUGAAAUUGAGCUUGCAUUAGCAGUUUUUCUUUUUGAAUGUAGUCCCGGUAAUUCUUUCAGUUGGGAGAUUAAACCCUAAAUGAGUUAUUAUAUUCAUCAGUGAUUGUUGCUUGACUUUCGCUAGAGAUUUUUUUCAUAAGAAAUGGGUGUUGUAAAUGAAGGAUUCCAUUCCCCACUUUAAUAAUAUUUGAGGGACUAUAUAUAUUCAUGGUAUAUAUU